rnacentral:ncRNA from 1 species
AAAUGCGUUGAGGCGCAGUUGUUGAUUGGAUAUUUAAGGGUAAAGCACUGAUUCGGUGGAGGGUGUGAAAGUGGUACCAAAUAUAGGUAAACUUUGAAUACUAGAUAUGACCUCAAAAUAAUAGGGGUCGAAGUCAGCCAGUGAGACGAUGGGGGAUAAGCUUCAUCGUCGAGAGGGGAAACAACCCAAAUCACCAGCUAAGGCCCCUAAAUGACUGCUUAGUGAUAAAAGAAGUAGGGAUGCAGAGACAUCUAAGAGGUUUGCCUAAAAACAGCCACCCUUAAAAUAGUGCGUAAUAGCUCACUGAUCGAACACAUUUGCGCGCCAAAGAUGAACGGAGCUAAGAUAUAUUAGCCAAUUAAAGUAAAUUACAUGGUU